rnacentral:rRNA from 1 species
CGCGCCGAACGGUAACGCUCGCGCGGUGUCCAAUGCCCUGAUCUUGAUUAGAGCGGACGCCCCGUUUGUGCACACCCAAAGCGCGCYAUUCUCACAUUCGACCUCGGGGGUGCUGGAUCACGCACUGAACUUAAGCAUAUCAUUAAGUGCAGGAAAAGAAACC